rnacentral:rRNA from 1 species
UACAGAGGUCCCAAGCGUUGUUCGGAUUCACUGGGCGUAAAGGGUGCGUAGGUGGUGAGGUAAGUCGGAUGUGAAAGCUCGGAGCUCAACUCCGAAAUGGCAUUGGAAACUACCUUGCUCGAGGGUUGGAGGGGGGACUGGAAUGCUUGGUGUAGCAGUGAAAUGCGUAGAUAUCAAGCGGAACACCAGUGGCGAAGGCGAGUCCCUGGACAACUCCUGACACUGAGGCGCGAAAGCUAGGGGAGCAAACAGG